rnacentral:rRNA from 1 species
AGUGAACGCUGGCGGCGGGCCUAAUACAUGCAAGUCGAGCGAACGGACGAGAGGGUUUGUUCUCUGGGUUUAGCGUGGGGGGGGGGAGUAGAACGUAUAGAAACUACCUAUAAGACGGGGGUAAAUUCCGGAAACCGGAGCUAAAACCGGCUUAUAAUUUGAGGGGGAUGGUUGAAGAGUUAAGGACGUUCUUCAUGUCACUGAGACGUUGCUGCGCGCGGCAUUAGCUAGUUGGUAAGGUAACGGCUUACCAAGGCAACGAUGCAUAGCUGACCUGAGAGGGUGAUCAGCCACACUGGAACUGAGACACGGUCCAGACUCCUACGGGAGGCAGCAGUGGGGAAUCUUGCACAAUGGGCGAAAGCCUGACCCAGCCAUGCCGCGUGAGUGAUGAAGGUCUUCGGAUUGUAAAACUCUGUUAUUAGGGAAGAAAAUCUGCGUAUGUAUCUGCGCAUGUCAUGACGGUACCCAAACAGAAAGCCCCGGCUAACUACGUG